AUGGUUGUCGUCAGCUCGUGUCGUGAGAUGUUGGGUUAAGUCCCGCAACGAGCGCAACCCUUGUUGUUAAUUGCUAACAGGUUAAGCUGAGCACUUUAGCGAGACAGUCUAGGUUAACUAGGAGGAAGGUGGGGAUGACGUCAAAUCAUCAUGCCCCUUACGUUUAGGGCUACACACGUGCUACAAUGGUGAGAACAGAGAGAAGCAAGCUAGUGAUAGUGAGCAAAACUUAUAAAACUCAUCUCAGUUCGGAUUGCAGGCUGAAACUCGCCUGUAUGAAGAUGGAGUUGCUAGUAAUCGCGAAUCAGAAUGUCGCGGUGAAUACGUUCCCGGGUCUUGUACACACCGCCCGUCACACCAUGAGAGUUGGCAACACCCGAAACCUGUGGGCUAACCAUAUAGGAGGCAGCAGUCUAAGGUGGGGUCAGUGAUUGGGGUGAAGUCGUAACAAGGUAGCCGUAGGAGAACCUGCGGUUGGAUCACCUC
rnacentral:rRNA from 1 species